rnacentral:rRNA from 1 species
GNGCUUUAUGCAGUCGAGCGGAACGAUGAUAGCUUGCUAUCAGGCGUCNAGCGGCGGACGGGUGAGUAACGCGUAGGAAUCUGCCUAGUAGUGGGGGACAACAUGUGGAAACGCAUGCUAAUACCGCAUACGCCCUACGGGGGAAAGGAGGGGAUCUUCGGACCUUUCGCUAUUAGAUGAGCCUGCGUAAGAUUAGCUAGUUGGUGGGGUAAAGGCCUACCAAGGCGACGAUCUUUAGCUGGUCUGANAGGAUGACCAGUCACACUGGGACUGAGACACGGCCCANACUCCUACGGGAGGCANCAGUGGGGAAUAUUGGACAAUGGGCGCAAGCCUGAUCCANCCAUGCCGCGUGUGUGAAGAACGCCUUAUGGUUGUAAA